rnacentral:lncRNA from 1 species
AUGGGAGGGCUGGGCUUUGAGGGGGACCCUGGGCUAGUAAGAAGAAGCCCUGGGCUAGUGACGGGGGGCUCUGGGCCAGCGGGGGGGGCGGGACCUCGUGUGCCCCCUCCACCCCCCGCCAUGCUCAGUGUCACACGCCUGUGCCCCCCCCGCCCCCCCGCUGUGCCCUGUGUCACCCCCCCCGCCACUGUGCCCCACGUCACGCGUGUCCGCCCCCCCCGUACUGUCCCACGUACCAGCCCCGUGGCACAGGUGUGCACACCUGCUCCCCCGUAUACGCGUGUGCGCGCCCACCCAGGCCCCCCCCGCCAGCUUUCCCACGAGUGUCCACCGCACUGUCGCCUUCUGAGCCCCCGUCCGGGGCAGGGGGGUGGUGUCACGCGUGGGGGUCCGGAGCAGGGGGGGGGUCCGGGGGCGGGCGGGGCCGGCGGGGGCGGGCGCUGGUCGGUAUUUUUAGCCGCGCGCUCCCGGGGCGCAGCCGUUGCCCGGGAACGGCGGGAGCGCGGCCAAGGGAACAGCGGGGGGGGGUGUCGGGGGGGGGGGGGGAGACGGGAAAAAAGGGGGGGGGGCGGCUGCUCCGGACCCGGGCCCGGGCUCUGGCGGGAGCGAUCCGGUACGGCCGGACGCUGCGCUCGCCCUGCGCCAUGCGCGCAACACACCGGGGCUGCGCGGCCCGGCGGGAGCGGCGGCCGCGGGGCGAGCGGUGAGUGCGGGGACCGGCGGGGGGGACGGGAACACACAGCCCGGGGGGGCCCUGCUGCCCUCCCACCCCGCCUCCGCGCCCCAUCGCCCCCUGCACCCCCCCACCCCACCCCCCCGCUGCAGCACACGGGGGGUGGCACUGGGGACCCCUCCGCCUCCGCGGGUGGGGGGUGCUGGGGGCACGCGGGGACCCAGCCCCCCGCCCCCCCCCAGCACAGUCACCGGAGGAUGCGGCCCCCCCCGCCCACCUCCGUUCCGCCCCAGGCUGGGACGUCUGCCCCCACGAACCCGGGUGGGAGUGGGGUGCCCCAUGGCGGGAGGGGGGGGAGCACAGCUGGGUGCCACAGGGCCCCCCCCCCAGGCCGGGGGGCGGUGGGGGGGCGCAGGCGGAGGGGGGGGGGGUGUGCCAGGAGCUCUGUGCGUGUGCAAGGCCCAGCGGGGUGUGCAUGCGUGUGUACAUGCAUGCGUGCACGGAUGUGCAUGAGGCCCAGCUCCCUGUGCACGCCUGUGCUGCCAUCGGCCCGGAGCGUGUGCGCAGUGUUGGUGCCCACCCCGUUGCACACCCCAUCUUGGGGCACGAGAGCGUGCAAGGAGCCCCUCGGGGUGCACACGUGGGCCUGCACCUGCCGGGGGCAAAUGUGUGCGUGUCCCUGGGAGUUGGGAGCAUGUGUGCACGCCUGCUCGUGUGCGCGCGCGUGCAAGGUGUGCCCGCUGCGGUGCUGCACAUCUGUGUGA